CUCUCUCUUGGGGUGACUAUAUUGAUAAACUUUUGGCCAAUCUUCUUAAGUGAAAUUCAAUCCAUUAAGCUUUGUAUUAUCUUGGAAAAAAAAGAUAGCAAAAGAAAAAUAUGAUUUUUUUUCUUUUGCUGAUUUUUAUAACAUUGCACACAUUUUUUUGUUUUUCAUGUUUUUAACACUACUAGGAAUAGUACAAUAUUUUCAAAGACUCGUAUACGUUAGUUAUUCAUAAGUAAUUAGGAAAUUAAAAAGUAAUUAGAAAUCUUUAAUCAGUGGAUUUAAGCAGAAUUAUAAAUAAUUGUCAUUAUGGUCUUUUUAUGUAUAUAUCUAGUUUAUUUGCAUCAAGCAUGAUGGGGUGUGUUUCUUGAUCUCUUUUGACCAAACACAUUAAAUUAAUCCCCCUGUCUUCGAUUUACACAAGUCGUGCAUUUGAGGUCAUUUGGAAAUCCUUUUCAGUCACAGUUCAUCAAUCACAAAGUAAAUCUGGAUGGGACUUUGCUCUUGUCUCAUCAGAGACUCCCCUCAAGCUCCAUAAAUUUUUGAUUUGCCGCUAUGGUUGGCUGGUUUUAAUUUAGAGUUGAAGAACAAACAGCAUAGUUGUCUGGAAUUGCACUUGGAGAAAAAGAAUGUAUGAAAUCUUUGGAUCAGAUUCUGGGAGACGGAUUGCAAUGUCUCUGAGAACUGGGGAGCCACAAUGCAUACUGCACACUCAUGUACCGUGUGGUAGUAAAAAAUAAAGAAAACCCCAAUACAUUUCUUCGAAUGGAAAUUGCACUCAGUAUCAUGUAUAUUACAUGUGUAGCUAUUUAUUUAGAAGUAUAUAUGAUAUUGUUACAGAGAUGAGACACCUGUCAUAAUGCUCUCUCAUUAAGAUGGCACUUGUCACUGCUGUGAAUAGUGAAAUUCUUAUAAAAAUGCAAUGGGUUGCUGGUGAGGUUUUUAAGAAUAAACAUGGGGUUACACAGGGUGAGCAAAAACAACAUAUAAUGGCCAGACUUCCAGGUUCCAGAUUUACUUGGUAGUUUUGCUCUCUGUUCCUAUAAAAUAGAAUGACAUAAUGGCCCCUCUCUCCACUUACAGAACAAUUUAAAUACGUCCUUUAGAUGAAACCCAUGAGAUUAAUUUUGGCGUAAGUUUGUUUUGGCUAGGAUGUGCGACAUUUCUUCAUUAUGGUUACAUGUUUAUGGUGUGAUUGGGAUAGUUGCAAAGACAAUUGUGGAUCGACAAUUCUGUGUAACUGGAGGUAUGUCAUGUAUUUUGCUCCAGGAUUUAUGUGAUUAUAAAUCUUUUACGCAAUAAAGCUAAUGUAGUAAUUCUUCAGGCAUAUUGUUGUCUGGGUUGGAGACAGACACCACACGAUAAAACAUUUUCUUAAACAAUUUUUAAAAAUGUGCAAAUAGUGGCAUUAUUUGACAUGGGCUACAUGAUCAAGGUGUAGAGCACUCAAGAAAUAGAAAUCAAAUAACUGCUAGUAUUUUAAUUGGUUGGAGUUCAUCAGAAGGAGGGGCUUGACCAAGGCACCAUUCCUGCGAUAACCAUAACUGCAUGCAUAUUUCUAAUUGAAGCUCACAAAAUUAGGCAUAGUGAUUGUGAUUAAUUGCAGCACUAAAGUGUGAUUAAUCUGAUAAAAUGUUUAAUGCACAGGUAAAAUAAUUCCAAAUAUAUUCCCAGAUGACCGGCUCUAUAAACUAAUUCCAUUUCACAAAUAACUUUUAAAACAACAUUGACAUCAUUUAACAGCAAUUAUAACAUUGACCCAAAAAUUUAAAUAAAUAAAUCCACA